UACGUAGGUGGCGAGCGUUAUCCGGAAUGAUUGGGCGUAAAGGGUGCGUAGGCGGCCUGCUAAGUCUGGAGUGAAAGGUACCGGCUCAACCGGUACAGGCUCUGGAAACUGGCGGGCUAGAGAGCAGGAGAGGGCGGUGGAACUCCAUGUGUAGCGGUAAAAUGCGUAGAUAUAUGGAAGAACACCAGUGGCGAAGGCGGCUUCCUGGUCUGCAACUGACACUGAGGCGCGAAAGCGUGGGGAGCAAACAGG
rnacentral:rRNA from 1 species